UACGGGGGGUGCAAGCGUUGUUCGGAUUUACUGGGCGUAAAGGGCGCGUAGGCGGCCACCGAAAGUCGACUGUGAAAUCUCCGGGCUUAACCCGGAAAGGUCAGCCGAUACUGCGGGGCUAGAGUGCAGAAGGGGCAACUGGAAUUCUCGGUGUAGCGGUGAAAUGCGUAGAUAUCGAGAGGAACACCUGCGGCGAAGGCGGGUUGCUGGGCUGACACUGACGCUGAUGCGCGAAAGCUAGGGGAGCGAACGGG
rnacentral:rRNA from 1 species